rnacentral:rRNA from 1 species
AUUGAACGCUGGCGGCAGGCCUAACACAUGCAAGUCGAACGGUAACAGGAAACAGCUUGCUGUUUCGCUGACGAGUGGCGGACGGGUGAGUAAUGUCUGUGAAACUGCCUGAUGGAGGGGGAUAACUACUGGAAACGGUAGCUAAUACCGCAUAACGUCGCAAGCCCAAAGAGGGGGACCUUCGGGCCUCUUGCCAUCGGAUGUGCCCAGAUGGGAUUAGCUAGUAGGUGGGGUAACGGCUCACCUAGGCGACGAUCCCUAGCUGGUCUGAGAGGAUGACCAGCCACACUGGAACUGAGACACGGUCCAGACUCCUACGGGAGGCAGCAGUGGGGAAUAUUGCACAAUGGGCGCAAGCCUGAUGCAGCCAUGCCGCGUGUAUGAAGAAGGCCUUCGGGUUGUAAAGUACUUUCAGCGGGGAGGAAGGGAGUAAAGUUAAUACCUUUACUCAUUGACGUUACCCGCAGAAGAAGCACCGGCUAACUCCGUG